AUUGAACGCUGGCGGCAGGCCUAACACAUGCAAGUCGAACGGUAACAGGAAGAAGCUUGCUUCUUUGCUGACGAGUGGCGGACGGGUGAGUCAUGUCUGGGAAACUGCCUGAUGGAGGGGGAUAACUACUGGAAACGGUAGCUAAUACCGCAUAACGUCGCAAGACCAAAGAGGGGGACCUUCGGGCCUUUUGCCAUCGGAUGUGCCCAGAUGGGAUUAGCUAGUAGGUGGGGUAACGGCUCACCUAGGCGACGAUCCCUAGCUGGUCUGAGAGGAUGAGCGGCGGCACGAGAACUGAGACACGGUCCAGACUACUGAGGGAGGCAGCAGUGGGGAAUAUUGCACAAUGGGGGCAAGCCUGGUGCAGCCAUGCCGCGUGUAUGAAGAAGGCGUUCGGGUUGUGAAGUACUUUCAGCGGGGAGGAAGGGAGUAAAGUUAAGACCUUGGCUCAUUGACGUUACCCGCAGAAGAAGCACCGGCUAACUCCGUG
rnacentral:rRNA from 1 species